rnacentral:rRNA from 1 species
GAUGAACGCUGGCGGCGUGCCUAAUACAUGCAAGUCGAGCGAACAGACGAGGAGCUUGCUCCUCUGACGUUAGCGGCGGACGGGUGAGUAACACGUGGAUAACCUACCUAUAAGACUGGGAUAACUUCGGGAAACCGGAGCUAAUACCGGAUAAUAUAUUGAACCGCAUGGUUCAAUAGUGAAAGACGGUUUUGCUGGCACUUAUAGAUGGAUCCGCGCCGCAUUAGCUAGUUGGUAAGGUAACGGCUUACCAAGGCGACGAUGCGUAGCCGACCUGAGAGGGGGAUCGGCGACACGGGAACGGAGACACGGACCAGACUACUACGGGAGGCAGCAGUAGGGAAUCUUCCGCAAUGGGCGAAAGCCUGACGGAGCAACGCCGCGUGAGUGAUGAAGGUCUUCGGAGCGUAAAACUCUGUUAUUAGGGAAGAACAAAUGUGUAAGUAACUAUGCACGUCUUGACGGUACCUAAUCAGAAAGCCACGGCUAACUACGUG